CGACGUUGGAACAGCGGUUAGGAGCUUACACCCACCCGUGUUUACAUACUAUUGUUGCUUUGGCGGGCCGUGGCCUCCACUGCGGGCUCUGCUCGUGUGUGCCCGCCAGAGAACCAAACUCUGAAUGUUAGUGAUGUCUGAGUACUAUCUAAUAGUUAAAACUUUCAACAACGGAUCUCUUGGUUCUGGCAUCGAUGAAGAACGCAGCGAAAUGCGAUAAGUAAUGUGAAUUGCAGAAUUCAGUGAAUCAUCGAAUCUUUGAACGCACAUUGCGCCCUGUGGUAUUCCGCAGGGCAUGCCUGUUCGAGCGUCAUUUAACCACUCACGCCUAGCGUGGUAUUGGGGCACGCGGUCUCCGCGGCCCUCAAAAUUAGUGGCGGCGCCGGUGGGCUCUAAGCGUAGUACAUACUCCCGCUAUAGAGUUCCCCCGGUGGCUCGCCAGAACCCCCAAUUUUUACAGGUUGACCUCGGAUCAGGUAGGGAUACCCGCUGAACUUAAGCAUAUCAAUAAGCGGAGGAA
rnacentral:rRNA from 1 species